GCCGCACUAAACACUCGUUCCUUGCCUCCCAGGGCCGCGGUUGACCCGUACAGGAGGCUGAAUAAUCCGUAAGGAGCAAUUCGAUG
rfam:Shimwellia blattae DSM 4481 = NBRC 105725, complete genome.